CGGGAAUUUUGGGCAAUGGGCGAAAGCCUGACCCAGCAACGCCGCGUGAGGGAUGAAGUAUUUCGGUAUGUAAACCUCGAAAGAAUGGGAAGAAUAAAUGACGGUACCAUUUAUAAGCUCCGGCUAACUACGUGCCAGCAGCCGCGGUAAUACGUAGGGAGCAAGCGUUGUUCGGAUUUACUGGGCGUAAAGGGCGCGUAGGCGGCGCGGUAAGUCACUUGUGGAAUCUCUGAGCUUAACUCAGAACGGCCAAGUGAUACUGCUGUGCUAGAGUGCGGAAGAGGCAACCGGAAUUCUUGGUGUAGCGGUGAAAUGCGUAGAUAUCAAGAGGAACACCUGAGGCGAAGGCGGGUUGCUGGGCCGACACUGACGCUGAUGCGCGAAAGCCAGGGGAGCAAACG
rnacentral:rRNA from 1 species